CCAGCGGUGGAAGGGAAGAGCUUUUAUUUUCAUGACAAGCGUUUUUACACUUUUAUAAGCAAGAUAAAAUGUGUUUCACAUCCUGUCAUUUAGAACGGGCAAUCCCAUGAAAUAAAACAGCGCUAACACUCCCCCCGGCCACUCCCUUCAAGGCACCCUGGUGUUCCUAACCCUCAACCUUCCACGCGGGGAAAGGUGAUUUAUUAUUGUUCCUAGUUUACAAGUGAAAUAAUUCAUUAUGAGUAAGUGUAGGAAAUUCCAAGAACGUGACAAAAAUUACUGAAUGGAUGGAUUAUUGUAAUUUUUGAUCAGUGGUCCAACAUUAUCUUGUGUAUUGCUAACCCCUAAAUCGCUGUCACCUCCACCCAAGUCUGUUUAAAGACAGGAGAAAUGCUACUCCACCCAUUUGCAAACAUCCAAAUGUACAGAAAAUGUCCACAAAGUCAGAGAUUCAGUCCCCUAGCCAUGAGGAACUUCAAUUUAAAUUGCAGAACAAGGUGAUGUACAGGCUGAAUCUUCCCUGCUCUUUUCCACCCUCCUUGAGAAAAACAAAUAAUGCUGAGCACCUGUAUUCAACAGCUCAAUUCUUUAGUAUUACAGGAAAAUAUUAUCCAGAUCUAAGUCUGCCAUAGAAAUAACUGAAAAAUUACUAGGAGGAAAUGCUUAUGCUAAAUACUUUCUGUGCAGAUGUAUCUUAAUUCAUAUUAGCUUUAAACAGCUCUUGCAGCAGACAGCAGCCUUUUUCGCAGAGUUGCUGUCUUGCUAGUCCUCCUUCAUACAACACCAUAUGAAAACCAGUCAUGUCCCCUAAUUUAUCAUGGCUAAGAGACACUGCUGCUGCUUAACUAUAAAACACGUUAUAAAUUUGAAGUCACUUAACAUUCAGUACCAAUUAGAAAUAGCUAAUGAUUUGUAAAAACAAAGUGGCUUACAGUGAAAUUAAUGAUUUGUUAAAAAAUGGCUGACAGUGGUUUGUGUGUUUACAAAUUAGUAUUUUUGCAUGAAAUAUAAGGAGGAAAUGAGCCAAAGUACUUUUGCAAGGAAAACUUCUGUGACCUUAAUGUUUCUAUACCUCAGUAUGGCUUCUAGAACAAAUAGUUGCAUUCAUUUUACAAUAGUGAUAUUGUAGUUGAUCCGGUUACUCAACAAUGAUGUUCCUUGCUUAUGCAGUAAUAU
rnacentral:lncRNA from 1 species